rnacentral:rRNA from 1 species
AGCUAGUUGGUGAGGUAACGGCUCACCAAGGCAACGAUGCAUAGCCGACCUGAGAGGGUGAUCGGCCACACUGGGACUGAGACACGGCCCAGACUCCUACGGGAGGCAGCAGUAGGGAAUCUUCCGCAAUGGACGAAAGUCUGACGGAGCAACGCCGCGUGAGUGAUGAAGGCUUUCGGGUCGUAAAACUCUGUUGUUAGGGAAGAACAAGUACAAGAGUAACUGCUUGUACCUUGACGGUACCUAACCAGAAAGCCACGGCUAACUACGUGCCAGCAGCCGCGGUAAUACGUAGGUGGCAAGCGUUAUCCGGAAUUAUUGGGCGUAAAGCGCGCGCAGGCGGUUUCUUAAGUCUGAUGUGAAAGCCCACGGCUCAACCGUGGAGGGUCAUUGGAAACUGGGGAACUUGAGUGCAGAAGAGAAAAGCGGAAUUCCACGUGUAGCGGUGAAAUGCGUAGAGAUGUGGAGGAACACCAGUGGCGAAGGCGGCUUUUUGGUCUGUAACUGACGCUGAGGCGCGAAAGCGUGGGGAGCACACAGGAUUAGAUACCCUGGUAGUCCACGCCGUACACGAUGAGUGCUAAGUGUUAGAGGGUUUCCGCCCUUUAGUGCUGCAGCUAACGCAUUAAGCACUCCGCCUGGGGAGUACGGUCGCAAGACUGAAACUCAAAGGAAUUGACGGGGGCCCGCACAGCGGUGGAGCAUGUGGUUAAUUCGAAGCACGCGAAGACCUUACAGGUCUUGACAU